UACGUAGGGUGCGAGCGUUGUCCGGAUUCAUUGGGCGUAAAGGGUGCGUAGGCGGCGCGGUAAGUCGGGGUGUGAAAUCUCGGAGCUUAACUCCGAAACUGCAUUCGAUACUGCCGUGCUUGAGGACUGGAGAGGAGACUGGAAUUUACGGUGUAGCGGUGAAAUGCGUAGAUAUCGUAAGGAAGACCAGUGGCGAAGGCGGGUCUCUGGACAGUUCCUGACGCUGAGGCACGAAGGCCAGGGGAGCAAACGGG
rnacentral:rRNA from 1 species